rnacentral:lncRNA from 1 species
AAAUAAUUAAGCUCUAGUCAGGCCGCAUCUGGUUUCUCUUCCUUCUUUAAAAAACUUGCCAAGCACUUCAUCCCUUUCCAGGAGCCUUAAAGAAGACUGUCAGGUGUUUUUAAUUUCGUUUUCUUCACUACCUACUGGCAUUCAUAAAGCAACAGGAUCCACACCUAUUUAGGUCUCCUGCAAGAGCUCUACCUUUUCCAAAUGCCGAUUCACUCUAAUUCUUACAAGGAAUAAUUAGUCAUUGUUAUAUAUAUGUGUAUAACAUUAUAGGAGUUAUACAGAUCCUGGAAGGAACCCUAAAAUGUAACAACAUUCAGACUUUGUCAACCUGUGAGGCUCGAUGGGCAUUUAUACACAAAUUGCAGUGAGUCAGAGCAACUUCUUCCUCCUCAACCCCCACCAACCCCAGACUGAUGGCCCUAACUCCAGUCUUUCCUCGGUGUCAGUCUUCAAGAGUUUCCAUUAAUUCCUGUGAGCAUUUGUACGCAUCCUCCCUGACUUGCUAAUGAAGGUGGUCCUCGCCUGUGCCACCUGGAUAAUGAGAGCUUGGAGAGAGAGAGAAUUUCCCUCCCUUGCCUGCUUAUUCAAGGCUCCAGGUGUGAUGAUCCACCUUAUUCUCCUUGUCUCCUCAUCUUGUGUCUCAUUUUGAGGGUUCCGUGACAGCUCAGUAAUCUGCUUUGAAGUAGGAAGGAGAAGAUGCCCUCCGCCAGCCUCCCAGGGUCAUACUCCAUGAAGGAUGCCUACCACUGAGCUGCCUGGGCCCUGAAAUGUUAUUGCCCUUUGAUUGUGCUGCUCUCCAAACCCUCUUACACACACGCCACAAACACUUGAGGUUCUGUCACAAAGCAAAAGUGACUAGACUGAGAUGGGGCAAUGGCCUUCCCAAACACCUAUCUUUUUAUUAUAAAGCUUCAGCAGGGAGUUCCCAUCCUAGCUCAGCAGUAACGAGCCCGAGUUGUAUCUGUGAGGACAUGGGUUAAUCCCUGGCUUGCUCACUGGGUUAAGGAUCUAGUGUUGCCAUGAGCUGUGGUGUAGGUUGCAGAUGCUGCUUGGGUCCCGUGUUGCUGUAGUGUAGGCUGGCAGCUGCAGCUCUGAAUCAACCCCUAGCCCAGGAACUUCCAUAUGCCAGGGUACAGCCCUAAAAAGACAAAAAAAAAGCCUCAGCAUUAUUCAACAACUCUCAUUAGAAUAUAAUUUAAGAAAAUCUCCCCCCCCCAAAAAAGUCUAUUGCUCAUUCCCCAGUAAGCUAAGGUUUGUCAUGCUUAAGAAGUAGCUUAACAAGGAUGUGCAUUUUGCAAAUACAAAUGGACACAAACUCACAGACAUUCCUCUACAGACCUCUGAGUUCCUAAUGUUUUCUAAAUUGAUAAAUUACCUAAUUUUCCUAAGGGAAGACCCAUAACCUCAAUUAUAGCUUCUCCUCAAUAAAAUAUCUUUUAAAAUAUCACAUAAUAUCACUUAACAUGGAAUUGGAAAAAACUGAUACAAAUGAACUUAUUUACAAAAAAGAAAUAGGCUCACAGACAUAGAAAACAAACUUGCAGUUAUCAAGGGGGAAAAGGUAGGGGGACAGAUAAAUUGGGAUUAGCAGAUACACACAUAUAUAAAACAGAUAAACAACUAGAAUCUACUCUAUAGCAGAGGAAGUAUAUCCAACAUGUGUAAAAACCUAUAAUGGAAAAGAAUCUGAAAAGUUUUGUAUAUAUAUAAAAUUGUGUAUAUAUAAAACUGUACAUACAUAAAACUGAAUCACUUUGCUGUACAUCUGAAACUAACACAACUUUGUACGUCAGCUACAUUGCAAUUAAAAAAAAAAUAGCAGAAUGUCACCUGCCUUUUCAUUUUUGCUUUUUCUUUUUUUGUUUGGGGUUUUUUUAUUUUUGUCUUUUUGCCUUUUCUAGGGCCGCUCCUGCAACAUAUGGAGAUUCCCAGGCUAGGGGUCUAAUCAGAGCUGUAGCCACCAGCCUACACCAGAGCCACAGCAAUGUGGGAUCCGAGCCACAUCUGCCACCUACACCACAGCUCACGGCAAUGCCAGAUCCUUAACCCACUGAGCAAGGCCUGGAAUUGAACCCGCAACCUCAUGGUUCCUAGUCAGAUUCGUUAACCACUGAGCUACGACGGGAAUUCCUUUUUCUUCCUUUUCUAGGACGAUGCCUGUCUUCAGGAAGGAGUGGCAGGGAGUCCUAGGGAUCUGGUCACUCAGAGCCAUCAAACCGGCCCUGACUGUCCAACAGGCCACAUGUUUCCCUUUUACAACCUUUUUUCCCAUUUGUGAAGCCUCGACAUCACAACACAUACUUUCCUGCCUUAAAGUCCCCUAAGUAGUAAAUUGUGAAUUAGUUGUAACCUGAGCCUGCGAGGAAAGAAAUAGUUUGGCAUAUAGAAUACUCACUCUAGUUCUGGAUUUUGUUUUUUGUUCUGUUUUGUUUUUUGGCUGCCCAUGGCAUAUGAGGUCCCCGGCCAGGGAUCAGAUCUGAGCUGCAGUUGCAACCUAUGCCGCAGUUGUGGCAAUGCUGGAUCCUUAACCCAUUGUGCCAGCCAGCAUCCAACCUACAUCCCAGCACAUCAGAGAUGCCACCCAUCUGGCUUCGCCACAGCAGGAACUCCCCAAGUCCUGGUUUUGAUUGGCUGUCUACUAUCACUUGAGGUUUUCAGGGAAGAUUGAUGUCCAGGAGACAGGCCAAGCCAUGCAGUCCUGUAUUCCUAGCAGGUUUGGACUUCAAACCCCAGAAUAGUUCUUUGGUGAAGAACUAUAUUUUGCCUUCUUUCUGAAGGGCUGGAGUUUGUUACAUAAAACUCUAAUGUUUAUGUAAUCAAAUGUGUCAAUCUUUUCUGUAUAACUUCUGGGUUUUGUAUUAUCCUUUUUAAAGUCUUGCCCAUUCUAGAAUCAAAAAAAUAUGCAUCUAUGUCUUCUUAUAGGACGUCUGUGAUUUCAUGCUUUACAUGCAAAUCUCUGAUCCAUCUGGAACUUCUUUUGGUAUAAGAAGUAAGAUAAGGGCCUACUUUUACUUGUUUCCAUCCCAAAUGGCAAAGAGUAAACUCAAUUACCAUUUAUUGAAUAAUCUACCUUUUAAAAAAGUCCUUUAAAUAGCAACUUUCUCCAUAGAGAUUUUAAUAUGAUUCACUCUAUACAAGCUCUAUGUAUGCAUUUAUAAAAGUUCUAUUUGAACAUGAUGCCAGAAACAGCUAUAGGGUGGUGGGCAGUUGUUAAAAUGCCCCCUCCUCAGGUCAGUUUCCCUACCAUAAAAAAUUAAGGCAGCACUAUGUACCUUGCCGUGUUCUUGUGGGGAUUUUAAGAAUAAAGUAUGUAGAUACCUCUACCUCAAUUAUUGUGUUUCUUUCUGUUCAAUUUUCUGCAGUAAAGCAAUGUGGGCCCUCAUAUCAAGGAUCCCAUUUGGGUGUAAGACUCAGUUUCUCUAUUUACAUCCUGAGCAUAUAGAGAUGGCAAAGGAGGCCAUAGCUUUUUCAACAGUAACAUCUAACUGUUUCCCUCUCUGGUCAGUGCCUAAAGAGGUACUUUAUUUAAUCUUUUGAGGUGCCAAUCUUUGCCUUUUUGUUUCCCCAAAUAUUUCAGCAGGGCAUGUGGUGCUACAUAGAUCUGAGUUUGAAUUCCAGUUCUGCCGCUUACCAGAUAAGUGGCCCUUCUUGAGAAUAAUAUAAAGGGGAGAGGAGUAGCCCUCUUGUCAUGGGGUCAUGGUGGGAUAAAUAAGAAUCCUUGUGGAAUGCACCUUCCAUGGGGAGAAGAUCUUUGUCUUAUGAAUCACGAGUAUUAGAAUGCCUUGUUAUGCCCAGUGUUAGAAUGGUGCCUGAUGUGCCGUUGCCACUUAUUAAAGCAGUAUGGAAGGAAGGAAUUAGAGCACGUAGCAAGGUGCCAAAGUAAAUUAGCUAUAAGUGGAGGUCAGAGGGAACAGAAAUGUGGUUUGCCUUCAGGGGUUAGAAUCUGGAUCUGAAAACUAAGGUGUGUAGCCCUUACACAUGAGGCAUAAUGAAAUGCGUGGUAUCAUAUGAGCACAAAGUACUUUGGAGACAAGUGGGAAGUAAUGCAUUUCAACUGGAGAAUUAGGGAAAUACUUAAUGGAAAAGGGCGAGGCUUCAAUUGGACCUUAAAAGAGCAUUGUGUGUGUGUGUGUGUGUGUGUGUGUUUGAGAGACAUGAUUUUCCAGGCUGGAGGAAGGAAUACAAAAUGGGAGAAGUGUUUGGCAUAUGCUAGGAUCAGAGCUUAGUGUGAAUUAUGAAAGUGCAUGUCAGGUAGGAGAAAGAGUGUCUGGCAGGUCAAUCAUGGUGGCCUGGAGUGUCCUGCAAUGGGGUUUAAGACAGUGCACAAAUCUGAAGGCUUUUGAGUUGCUGAGUCCUAGGAGAGGCUCGUGUUAUUAUUAUGUUUUCAUUAUCUGUAUUCAUUAUUCAGAAAUCAGGGCAAAGGAUGAACUAGAAGGGGUAAGAAUUUAAUAGCUGUUAUAACAGCUCAGGAGAGAAGUCCUGACAGUCUAAACUCAGAGUUUCCCAGGAAGCAGAGAGGAGGAAGAGACAAAAAGGGAGAGGAGUUUAGGAGUUCCUGUUGUGGCUCAGUGGGGUAUGGACCCCAUGUUGUCUCUGUGAGGAUGCGGGUUCCAUCUCUGGCCUCCCUCACUGGGUUAAGGAUCCAGCAUUGUGACAAGCUGUGGUGUAGGCUGCAGUGGCAGCUCUGAUUCAACCCUGGCCUGGGAACUUCCACAUGCUGCAAGUGUGGUCCU